CUGAGCUCCUGGGCCAGGCCUCCGUCUCAGGAGGAAUCAGGGCUACUGCUUGCUCAGCCCCGUCCUGAGCUACUUUGCUCAUCCACAUCCCCUCAUCUGGGGAAAGGGUUUGGGGUUUUAUCCCGUCCCUAGUCCUACCACUGGAGCCCAAGCCCAGACCCUCUUGCUUGGAGCCCCGCUUUCCCUGGACCUGUUCCCACUCUGCCCCAGUCACACAGGCCUUCUUCCCAAUCCCUGAACAGUGCCUCAGGGCCUCUGCACGGCCCUUUCCGUGCCUGGACUGUCCUCUCCCAGAUCAGCUCAGCAAUGGUUCCUGCCACAAUUCUGCUCACACAUCACCUCCUCAGAGACACCUUCCCUCCCCAUCCUCUCUAACACACCCUCCGCUCACCCACACCAGCGGGCCCUAACUUCUCUCUACUUCAAACCGUGCUUCUGUUACUGUUUUGCUUCUAUUAUUAUUAUUAUUAUUGGAGACAGAGUUUCUCUCUUGUUGCCCAGACUGGAGUGCAAUGGCGCGAUCUUGGCUCACUGCAACCUCCACAUCCCAAGUUCAAGCGACUCUCCUGCCUCAGCCUCCCGAGUAGCUGGGAUUACAGGCGUGCGCCACCAUGCCCGGCUAAUUUUGUAUUUUUCAUAGAGAUGGGGUUUCACCAUGUUGGCCAGGCUGGUCUCGAACUCCUGACCUCAGAUGAUAGCUCCCACCUUGGCCUCCCAAAGUGCUGGGAUUACAGGCAUGAGCCACCGUGCCCAGCUGUUUUUCUUCUAUUAUUAUUGUUCUUGCAGGAGCUGGUAAAGUGGCUGAUGUGGCCACAGCUCCAUAAAUCCAUGUGGAACGAAGGGUGGACAUCGCCUGAGUCCAGGAGACAGGACAGGGUCACUCAUCUCUGUCCCUGGUGAUGGAAACUCAGGCUCAGGAAAGAGCCUUGACCUGCCCUGGGUCACAGAGAGAAUAUUAGGGUCAGGGCUUGAGCCCGGGUGCUGUGGUCAGGCCCUUAGGCCGCCUCUCACACCCAGACUAGGAAGCUGGAGCAGAAAGUUUGCUAGAACAAUCCUGAGAAGAGGCCUGCACAGUUCAAGGGGCAGCUUGGAGGAGGAGAGGGAGGGAGGACCGGCUCUGGCCAGUGGGCUCUUGGACCUCAGGCCAGGCUCUGGCAGCUGCAUCUGGUAUCAGGCCUGCAGGUCCA
rnacentral:lncRNA from 1 species